CACACUGCGCAGUCCUUUUUCACAACGUAGCCUCAUGUGACCUCACCCCAUGGACUUUCCUGGUUCAGACUCUGCAAUCAGACUUUGAGCAAGGUUUCUGCAAACACUGCUCCAGAGCCUACAGGUGGUCACUUUGCUGCAGGGAGACUAUUCACACAGUGAGAUGCUAUUCAGGGUGACUACGGAUGGCAGAACUACCUCUAAAAAGAAGAGCUGACUGAGCCUGGCACAACUGGUCUGCAAAGCUGAAAGAGGCCUCUUCCACUGGGAUGCUCACAUGUUUGUGCACACCCACACUCACAAAACAGAGAAGUGGUCAAAAUGGAGAAGAAGAUGACAAUAAUCUGUGGAGGCAGUUCAGAGGUUUCAUAGCAGUCCCUGAACAAAGACAGCAAGGUGGAGCCAUGCCAAGUCAAGACACCUAAAUUUUUCUACAAGCAAUCUUACCUUAACAUACCAGCGCUCCUGUGCUUCUGUUUUGACCUGCUGGAGUAUGUAUAAUUGAUGUAGGGGCUGGGAAAGUCAUCUGACAUCAGCAUAAGUAAAAUGUUAAGCUCUCUCAGUUUCCAGCACAUGAUUUUUAAGACAUUUUAAUCCCCUCCCUUUCAAGUGUGGAUUUAUUGGGGAGGUCGAGGGGUCAUUAACACUUCCCCUCCUCCAUCACCAUUAACACAGUCCAACUCAGCAAAGACUGGUGUUGUUGGGUACUAUGAUUUCAUUCACACACACCUCUUUAUUUAUUUUUUUUUUCUUUCAGCCAAGUCUUCAUCAUCUUAUUUCUUUAAUAGUAUUUGAAGUUUAUAAAUUGUCUUUCAUUUAAAUAUAAACUAUUCAAAGCCCCAGUAAAAGACCUUACUGUUUCCAGCCCUUGUGGAGGUCCUAGGGGGAAGAAAGGAUGUUUGCCCAACAUUGUCUUGCUUCCUAUUGCAAGGACCAGAGCCGCAAUGGAGAAGCUGUUUCACCCUGCUGCAGCAACGACUGUACCUCACUCUUGUGGGCACUAGAGAGGGGCAAGGUCAUAAUUAGGCAGCCUCUUGAUGCAGAUUAACAGAACAGAUGAAACUAAACCAGGAUAACUGGCACCAUCUCAAACAUGGUAAAGCAAGAAUGCCUGCUGUAGAGGCAGGGAGAUAUUCUGACUACAUAGCCCUCUUUCUUUGAAAAAAAUCACUCAAGGAUCCACAGUUUUAUACAGCCAAAUACCCCUCUGUGCGUAAAUAACCUCAUUUAGUCAGUGUCAUUUUAUGGUUAUGUAUACAAAGGCAUGUUUGGCAUGGGCCACAAAAUUAAGCUAGCAAAGCGCGUCCUGUGUGUCCGUUCUUUUCUGUUUUCUUAAGGGUAAGCUUGCUGACCUUAUAGAUGUAAGAAAUGAGUUUCAGAGGCCUCCUGGGCAUACUGAAUCUCUUGCUUUCUGGAAAUGGGGGGAAAAAAAACCCCGAAACACAACCCUUGUACAUAGAAUAGAUCAAGUCAGAAAGGAAGUCACUCCUGUUAAGUAUUUUAAUGCAACAGAAGCUGAAAUUAUGACCACAUGACGUGUAGUGAGUGCAGUGACACAGGAGAAAAUGGCACAUCACUGCAACAUUAAUUACUUAAUGGCACAAAGCUGGUGAUAUAAAAACUGCUGUAGGUGGUCAAAGUUGAGUAUAGUCAGGGUAGCACACUGAACUCCAAAUAUCUAUUUGACAUUCUGCCUCAGGUUAAAUACUUUUUUUUCCCCUCCCUUCCUGACACUGUCUGGUUUCUUUUUUAUUCUUAGUUUUUGCUUCCUUCACAGUGUCUUGUUUUUCCUCAGCCUAACCCUCCUGGGACAGACUAAGCUGGAAAAACUUCAGUUUGCUGCUAUUUUACUCUACUUUACUUAGCCUCAUAAAGUUGCUUUAGAGACAGUCACUUUCUGGUGUAUGAGGACAAGAUGUCAUGAGGCACAUAGUGGAACAGUAAACCCAGGCUUUGAUCAAUUGCCAGAAAUGGGGACAGGAAGAGAGAAAAAGGGGGAGCUUUUUUAAAAUAUAUAUACAGGAGUAAACAGAAGUAAAAGAUACCACAGCUCAAAGGAAAUAUUAUAUUUUGGGUCAGAUGAAGCGUACUAGACUCUUCCUCUAGAGAAUACAAGUCCCCUUCCCCCUGACUCAGCCAUGGAAACUAGCUACCAGCCCUGUUUAUUGACACACAGAGGCUAAAACCUUCUGUGUGAUCAUUAUGUUCACCCAAAGCCAGGGUUACCUGACCUUCAUGUAGCUGCAGGCCAUUGCCGCAUGAUCUCAUCUUCAUGCAUAGCUCAGGAAGAGCUCAGCUCUUCUGCUCCCAAAAUGCCCAGCCCUUAGCAGUCAGCUUGGAGAAAAGGCCAAGAAGAUUCCUGGUAAUUUGCUGAGCUGUUCUGGUCACAGUUUGGGGAGGUCCAGCACCUGCCAACACAUACCUGUCACUCAUCUCAUGCUGAAGUCCCUCGCUGAAGUGCCUUCUUCACACAAAGGGGAUUGGAGGCAAGAACACGCAUGCUUUUCCUUUCUUUCUGUCUUUUAAAUGUGACCUCUUGUGUCCUGCUCAGGGUUAUUUAUAUACACUGGCACAUCGGAAAAGUGACUGGCUAUGUUAAGUACUGUGCUUUGAUUUUAGCGGUUUGUGUAGCGUCCAAAAACCAUGAAUAAAGUACAUUAAAAAAACGCUGGAAAUUGA